UAACAAUAACAAGAGUAAAACAUUGGUUUCUCCACUUCCUUUGCAGAGAGAUGCCCCAAGCAGAGUCCAUACAGUGGAGGCUGUAUCACCCAUGAGACCGUUAAAUCAGGGUACCUCCCCACUCUCUCUUAGUCUCUCCAGGAGGCGACUGCAGUAUGGUCUUCUGCAGUGAUGUGCUUUCCUGUACCCAUCCCACAGCCUGCAUUUCCCCUUGUGGGAUAAACACAGCAUGUAUUGUGAAUAUAUAAAGUUCCCCCUAGUGAAAAAGCAUGGGAUGACAUCCAUUUGUAGACAUAGUGCUUAAAAUUCAGUAGUCCUGUUUUCUUUUUUGAAAUAUUAUGUACCUGUAAAUGCAGCUGUUUGUUACAAUGUUAUCAAUUUUAAUAGAACCCAGUAUUGUUUUUUUAAACAAGUGUCCAAUUACAUGUGCAUUGAUGAAUGGUAUGUUUGUCUAUAAAUAAUUCAAAUGUUUUGUUUCAACAAAUGUUUUAAUAAA